rnacentral:rRNA from 1 species
UACGUAGGGCGCAAGCGUUGUCCGGAAUUAUUGGGCGUAAAGAGCUCGUAGGUAGUCUGUUGCGUCCGCUGUGAAAACCCAGGGCUUAACCCUGGGCUGGCAGUGGAUACGGGCAGACUAGAGGUAGGUAGGGGAGAAUGGAAUUCCCGGUGUAGCGGUGAAAUGCGCAGAUAUCGGGAGGAACACCGGUGGCGAAGGCGGUUCUCUGGGCCUUACCUGACACUGAGGAGCGAAAGCGUGGGGAGCGAACAGG